rnacentral:rRNA from 1 species
UGGCGGACGGGUGAGUAACGCGUGGAAAACCUGCCGUAUACUGGGGGAUAACACUUAGAAAUAGGUGCUAAUACCGCAUAAGCGCACAGCUUCGCGUGAAGCGGUGUGAAAAACUCUGGUGGUAUACGAUGGUUCCGCGUCUGAUUAGCUAGUUGGUGGGGUAAUGGCCUACCAAGGCAACGAUCAGUAGCCGGCCUGAGAGGGUGAACGGCCACAUUGGGACUGAGACACGGCCCAAACUCCUACGGAAGGCAGCAG